UACAGAGGGUGCAAGCGUUACUCGGAAUUACUGGGCGUAAAGCGUGCGCAGGCGGUUUUGUAAGCCAGAUGUGAAAUCCCCGGGCUUAACCUGGGAAUGGCAUUUGGGACUGCAAGGCUGGAGUACGGCAGAGGAGACUGGAAUUCCUGGUGUAGCAGUGAAAUGCGUAGAGAUCAGGAGGAAUACCGAUGGCGAAGGCAGGUCUCUGGGCUGAUACUGACGCUCAUGCACGAAAGCGUGGGGAGCAAACAGG
rnacentral:rRNA from 1 species